AAACAUGUCUAGUGAGCAUCACCGCUGUGAAGGUGCUGCAUGCGUUGUCGUCAGCUCGUGCCGUGAGGUGUCGGCUUAAGUGCCAUAACGAGCGCAACCCUUAUCUUCAGUUACUAACAGGUCAUGCUGAGGACUCUGGAGAGACUGCCGUCGUAAGAUGUGAGGAAGGUGGGGAUGACGUCAAAUCAGCACGGCCCUUACGUCCGGGGCUACACACGUGUUACAAUGGGGGGUACAGAAGGCAGCUACCUGGUGACAGGAUGCUAAUCCCAAAAGCCUCUCUCAGUUCGGAUCGAAGUCUGCAACCCGACUUCGUGAAGCUGGAUUCGCUAGUAAUCGCGCAUCAGCCACGGCGCGGUGAAUACGUUCCCGGGUCUUGUACA
rnacentral:rRNA from 1 species